AUGCUUACCUGGCGGGGGAGAUACCAUGAUCACUAAAAUUGGUUCUCCCAGGCGAGGCUCAUCCAUUGCACUCGGUGUGCUGACCCUGCGAUUUCCCCAAAUGCAGGAAACUCCCGGCUGCAUAAUUUGUGGUAGUGGGGACUGGGUGGCUCACCCCUGA